UUCUUAAUAGUUAUAAAUAGCUCACAAUUACCAUUUUAUUGUUCUAUUCAAAUACAUACAGUAAAAUAUUAUAUUAUAUUAAAAUAUUGAAUUGUUUAUACAGUGUAAAAUAUUAAUUGGUUCCAAAUUUCAGUUCCAAGCAAAUACAUUUUUUACAAUAAAAGUUUCUGAGCUUAUAAUAUUCAGACAAGAAAUUUUCUGAAGUUUUUCGUUCCUACAAAAUUUAAAAUACUAUAUCCCUCCAAAAUAGUGUCUUAUCAUUUAUCAUAUCAGUUUAAUUUGUAAACAGUCACCUCUUAGAUAACGAUUAUCGGCCAUUUUGUUGGAGACAUAAUUUUGUAUGUAUAACGUAUGGCAGUCGGCUAUCUAGUAUUUUUAUAUAUCUGUGGGUGUAAUUAAAAAAAUAUAUUAUUAAUUAUUUUGUUAAGAUAAGACACAAGCAAAAAACAAGACAAUAAGAAAUCAGUAACCAUAGCACAAGCAUUACACAUAAAAUCAAUUGCAGCUCCAAAAAUGAUAGUGCUACCUAGAGAUUUUACAUUCUGAACAAUUGAAACUAUUCAUCACUGAUUUCAAAUUUCAAUUAAUCUUAAGUUCUAUACUUAGAAGAAGCGCAUCAAUAGAGAUGCAAAAGGAACAUGCAGUUGGCUACAGAAAAAACAUUAAAGAGCAAACAACAAAAAGUCAAUAGUAUUGUAAAAAUAUAUUAUGUUCAAUAAAUAUAAUAAAGUAUGUUGUACUUUUUCAGCAUAAGUAUUUGUAGUGUAUGUUACGUUGGUGCCACUGGCACAACCAAUCAAAGUUUUUCAUAUUAUCAGCAGCAGAAAAUGUUGAUAGAUAUUAGUCACUUUUUUUGUACUCUUGUUAUUAUAUUAUGUUUGUUCAUGAAUUGUUAUGUUAAACAAAUAAAGUUUAUUAACAACGUUAA